AGAAUGAAGAAUCUCCAGCCUCAGUCACAAUCAAGAUUCCAGAUCAUUUGGAAAACCUAACAGAAGGAGCUGGAAUGGGAUGGGAGAGGACGGAGACCAGGGGCUGUUAUCAGAUGUGAGUUUUGAUUGGACUGAAAGGCAAACCAACAGAGUCUCACUACAUCACUCGGGCUGGAGUGCAGUGGUGAGAUCACAGCUCACCAUAGCUUCAACUUCCUGGACUUAGAUGAUCCUCCCACCUCAACUUCCAGAGGAGCUGGGACUAAAGCCUUUCAGGUGCUUCUCAGGUUGGCUAUCCUUCGUGAAGACUUGCUACAAGGCUACCAUUGUGGGAGUAGUCCUGAUCAAUCACUGGUAAGUUAUUAUCAGUGCUUAUAAGUAAA
rnacentral:lncRNA from 13 species